rnacentral:misc_RNA from 1 species
UUGCCUAAUUUUCAUAAACUCUUCUAUAACAUCUUCAAAGCCCUCAUCCCCAAACCUAACACAGAAUGCCCUCUCAAAUUCAUCCCAAGAAGGACUUUUCCCCUGGUCUAGUUAUGAAACCGGGCAUCAGCCUUAUCCAUCAAGAACACACUUGCAAUUACUACCCUUUGAUGUGCAGGAACCUUAUAAACUUCAAAGUAUUUGGCACAUUUCCUAAGCCAACCUAGGUUCUUUGCCCUCAAAGGUAACCAACUCUAUUUUAGGCAACAAAGAUUUACUAUCAUCAUUAUGAAUAGAGUUUUCAGAGUUACCUUGGUUAGAAUAGGCAAAAGACCCUUAUUCUCAGCAACUCACACUUCCACUAGUCCCUUCACUCAUUUUACCCUUCAAUUCUUUCAAUACAAUACCCAUAAAAG